CUGAAAGUCCACUGCACAACGAACGAGGUCUUUUUUAUGAUUUGCAGCAAGGAAUAUCUAAUCGAUCUCUUGGCGCUUCUGUAUUCGGAUCCAGCCAAAAGUUAACACCUGAUUUUUCAGUUCCUAUCAAAUUUACUGCAGCUGAUAUGUCCUUAUCCACUUUGUACCUGCAUGAGCUUCAUCAAAAACAAAUAAGAAGAAGAGGUUACCAAGAAAUGGCUACAAGAAGUUUAUGGCAACGGAGCCCAGUUCAAGAACUGUCUACAUUAUCUGAAGUAA